GGAAUCACGUGACAUCAGAGACGCUAACCCCAGGAAGGUGGGCGCGGCAAGGCCUUGCUGGGCCUAGGCUUCCUGGCUGGCUCUGAUUGGAUGAGAUUUGUCCGGGAGAGACGGGCUCUGCGAGCCCUCAAAGGCGCGUGCGUAUAUUUUGGACCGCGAUGACUAAGAUGUCAGUGGUGGCCAAAGGGGGCGCCGGGAAGCUGAAGAAAAAAAGAAGCAGAAUGUUGGAUUAAAGGAGGCAGGAUGGGCCAAAUACUCCUACACGGUCCACGCAAAGAGGGGUUGGACGAGCUCGGUUUCAACAAAAUGUGCUAGCUAACGUGGGCAGGAAGAAUGAGCUCCAAUAAUCUUCCUUUAUAGUUUGGACCUGGCAGCUUUCCCCCAAGUAUAAAGCCCUGUCGUAUAG